GAACGAGAGCGACCGGUGCUUGCACUGGUCAAUCUAGUGGCGAACGGGUGAGUAACACGUGGGUAACCUGCCCAUCAGAGGGGGAUAACAUUCGGAAACGGAUGCUAAAACCGCAUAGGUCCUUUAACCGCAUGGUUGAAGGAGGAAAAGAGGCGCAACUUCUGCUGAUGGAUGGACCCGCGGUGCAUUAGUUAGUUGGUGAGGUAACGGCUCACCAAGGCCGUGAUGCAUAGCCGACCUGAGAGGGUGAUCGGCCACAUUGGGACUGAGACACGGCCCAAACUCCUACGGGAGGCAGCAGUAGGGAAUCUUCCGCAAUGGACGCAAGUCUGACGGAGCAACGCCGCGUGAGUUAAGAAGGUUUUCGGAUCGUAAAACUCUGUUGUUAGAGAAGAACAAGUGCUAGAGUAACUGUUAGCGCCUUGACGGUAUCUAACCAGAAAGCCACGGCUAACUACGUGCCAGCAGCCGCGGUAAUACGUAGGUGGCAAGCGUUGUCCGGAUUUAUUGGGCGUAAGCGAGCCAGGCGGUUCCUUAAGUCUGAUGUGAAACCCCCCGGCUCAACCGGGGAGGGUCAUUGGAAACUGGGGAACUUGAGUGCAGAAGAGGAGAGUGGAAUUCCAUGUGUAGCGGUGAAAUGCGUAGAUAUAUGGAGGAACACCAGUGGCGAAGGCGACUCUCUGGUCUGUAACUGACGCUGAGGCUCGAAAGCGUGGGUAGCAAACAGGAUUAGAUACCCUGGUAGUCCACGCCGUAAACGAUGAGUGCUAAGUGUUGGAGGGUUUCCGCCCUUCAGUGCUGCAGUU
rnacentral:rRNA from 1 species